rnacentral:rRNA from 1 species
GACGUAGGGGGCCAGCGUUGUCCGGAUUUAUUGGGCGUAAAGAGCUCGUAGGUGGUUCGGUAAGUCGGAUGUGAAAUCUCCAGGCUCAACCUGGAGGGGUCAUUCGAUACUGCCGUGACUAGAGUUCGGUAGGGGAGUGUGGAAUUCCUGGUGGAGCGGUGAAAUGCGCAGAUAUCAGGAGGAACACCCGUAGCGAAGGCGGCACUCUGGGCCGAUACUGACACUGAGGAGCGAAAGCGUGGGGAGCGAACAGG